AGGAUGAGAAGAUUUGUUCGGACUGAGCAGAGACAAAGACAGCUUGAAGGAAAUGAGAGACGAGAUGAGCCAUUCAGAUGUCUCUGCACUUUCUGCCAUUAUCAGAGAUGGGAUCCUUCUGAGAAUGCUAAAAUCGGGCAGAACCAGAAGAAUUAGGGCAGUUUGAAUUGUACACUGUCCUUGCCGUUAACGGUGCCAUGCAGCAGAUGUGAAAGCUGUUUUUUUGUUUGUUAAGAUUAAACUUUUCUUGGUGCUGGGGAAAUCUCUUCUACUUGCUAACCUUUAAAUUAUAUAGGAUGUGUGACAUUUGGAUUCAUGGGAAUGACAGAUUUACCCAAGAAUUGAGCAUGAGUCAAAGCCCGGUAGUUUGAUUUAGAAGGUAAUUGGAAUAGAUCUUUUAUUUUAGAUUUUCUAGUUUACAGAGAAAUUUGUAAUAAAGGAAAAUUUGUUAUCUUUAAUAAAUACACAGAACAGAUUAGAACGAGCCAUUGGAGAUGGGGGACUUGUUUUUUACAGGUGCAUGUGUGGGUGUGCAUACUCCUGAUGUUCAGAGUUCAAUGUGUGCUACCCUGUUUAUUUCUGCUUGAGGCAAGGUCUCCAUGAGGCCUAGCUGGUCUAACUCCUGGUCUUGCCUUUGUUUUCCCCUGAGUUUUGACACCAUAGGCUUGUCGGCAAGAUCUGGAAAAGGCUUGAUGUUCGUGUUUGUUCGUGCUGUGUAAUAAACAAUUGGUUGACAUAUUCCAAA
rnacentral:lncRNA from 1 species